rnacentral:lncRNA from 1 species
GCCUCCGGCUGGGGCCACCCAGGCAACCGAUAUACACAGAGAACCACGUGGAGGAAAAGCACGCGAGUUUGGAGCGGGUGGAGCAGGAACAGAGGUGGACUGGAAUGUCACACGACGGGGCAGCUGGAAGGGCACCACUGAGUUCAGUACUUCAAAAUUGCCGUGCUCUACCUCUCCCCAGUGCACAAAAACACUCUCCACACCAAGCUGCUGCUGCUGGGGGAUGGAGGGAUGGCGUCAGCGAUUCAAGACUGUUUUUCCUACCUGUUCAGCACUUCUUUCAGCGAUAUGAAGUUAAAUCCAGGUCCCACUGACCCCAGCUCUUCCUUGUGCCGGGCAAAGAUGCCUCCUGUGGGUCUGCACAGGACAUGUUUCUCCUUGAGUGUGUUGGGGACAUUCCAGGCCUGAGAGUGUCCUGAGGCUGAGAGCCCCUGUUGAGCAGAAGAGAGCUGAUGGCCCUCUUGCCUGGCCAGGACUCUCUGAAGGACUCCAGCUCCAACAUUUUCUCACUAGUAAAUGAGAUGAUUUACUCUUGACUUGGGUUUGUUUGUUUCACAUGUAAAGACACCUUCACAGCACGAAAGCUGCAGAUUCAGAGAGGGACAUCAGGUUGAGGAGGCGGGAGGGAUGUGUGUCACAGGUCCCCGGACGCUGUGUAGAUUUCUUGGUUGGCCAGUGAAAGUCCCCACAUCUCACGGAGAUCCCCAUGCCCUUCCCGAGGAAGCCUCUAGAUGUCAGAGAUGCAGACAUUGCGCGUCUCAGUGGACAAUCCAGUCCAGAAAUGGGGGUGCAGAGAGGGGCUUCUGUUGCUCUUGAGCGGGAAUUCCACGGCCCUAGGUAUGGACUUAGGUGCUGAAGGGGGGGGACCCAGGAAAGAGGUUAGGACUGGCGAGGGAGUGGAUGGGGAUGGGGUUGGGGCAUGUGUACAGGAACCAGGGCUGGGGGCCAGCCCUCUAUAAUUACCUGAGUCACCACAGAUACCCCACAGCCUCCACAAGGCCUGCUGACUUGACCAGGGAGGGACCCACGGCUGUCGCGGCCUGUGGCUGAAAGUCUGCGGGCUCCCAGUCCUCAGCAUGGUCAUUCCGGGUAGGUUUAUUUUAUUUUUUAUUUUUUUGAGAUGGAGUCUCACUCUAUCUCCCAGGCUGGAGUGCAGUGGUGCAAUCUUGGCUCACUGCAACCUCCGCCUCCCGGGUUCAAGUGAUUCUC